rnacentral:rRNA from 1 species
GAUGAACGCUAGCUACAGGCUUAACACAUGCAAGUCGAGGGACCGGCUCACGAGUGAGUAACACGUAUCCAACCUGCCCUUUACUCGGGGAUAGCCUAUCGAAAGAAAGAUUAAUACCCGAUAUAAAGGAUGGGGAUGAGUUCCAUUAGGUUGUUGUUGAGUUAACGGCCCACUAAGCAUUCGAUGUAUAGGGGUUCUGGGAGGAAGGUCCCCCACGUUGGAACUGAGACACAGUCCAAACUCCUACGGGAGGCAGCAGUGAGUAAUAUUGGUCAAUGUGCGUUAGCCUGAACCAGCCAAGUAGCGUGAAGGAUGAAGGCUUAUGGGUCGUAAACUUCUUUUAUAUAAGAAUAUGUAUUAUAUGAAUAAGGAUCGGCUAACUCCGUGCCAGCAGCCGCGGUAAUAC